rnacentral:snoRNA from 1 species
AUGUUGUGGUGUGGCAAGAACUUAUCAUCUCCUUGUACCUCUCCCAACAUUCAUGAAAAGCUUCUCCUUCCUUUUGUGUGAAACCAAGAAUUUCCUUUCUAAUCUU